AUGCGUUGUUGGGUAGGGGAGCGUUCUGUAAGCCUGCGAAGGUGUGCUGUGAGGCAUGCUGGAGGUAUCAGAAGUGCGAAUGCUGACAUAAGUAACGAUAAAGCGGGUGAAAAGCCCGCUCGCCGGAAGACCAAGGGUUCCUGUCCAACGUUAAUCGGGGCAGGGUGAGUCGACCCCUAAGGCGAGGCCGAAAGGCGUAGUCGAUGGGAAACAGGUUAAUAUUCCUGUACUUGGUGUUACUGCGAAGGGGGGACGGAGAAGGCUAUGUUGGCCGGGCGACGGUUGUCCCGGUUUAAGCGUGUAGGCUGGUUUUCCAGGCAAAUCCGGAAAAUCAAGGCUGAGGCGUGAUGACGAGGCACUACGGUGCUGAAGCAACAAAUGCCCUGCUUCCAGGAAAAGCCUCUAAGCAUCAGGUAACAUCAAAUCGUACCCCAAACCGACACAGGUGGUCAGGUAGAGAAUACCAAGGCGCUUGAGAGAACUCGGGUGAAGGAACUAGGCAAAAUGGUGCCGUAACUUCGGGAGAAGGCACGCUGAUAUGUAGGUGAAGUCCCUCGCGGAUGGAGCUGAAAUCAGUCGAAGAUACCAGCUGGCUGCAACUGUUUAUUAAAAACACAGCACUGUGCAAACACGAAAGUGGACGUAUACGGUGUGACGCCUGCCCGGUGCCGGAAGGUUAAUUGAUGGGGUUAGCGCAAGCGAAGCUCUUGAUCGAAGCC
rnacentral:rRNA from 1 species